rnacentral:rRNA from 1 species
AUUGAACGCUGGCGGCAGGCCUAACACAUGCAAGUCGAGCGGAUGAAGGGAGCUUGCUCCUGGAUUCAGCGGCGGACGGGUGAGUAAUGCCUAGGAAUCUGCCUGGUAGUGGGGGAUAACGUCCGGAAACGGGCGCUAAUACCGCAUACGUCCUGAGGGAGAAAGUGGGGGAUCUUCGGACCUCACGCUAUCAGAUGAGCCUAGGUCGGAUUAGCUAGUUGGUGGGGUAAAGGCCUACCAAGGCGACGAUCCGUAACUGGUCUGAGAGGAUGAUCAGUCACACUGGAAAUGAGACACGGUCCAGACUCCUACGGGAGGCAGCAGUGGGGAAUAUUGGAAAAUGGGCGAAAGCCUGAUCCAGCCAUGCCGCGUGUGUGAAGAAGGUCUGCGGAUUGUAAAGCACUUUAAGUUGGGAGGAAGGGCAGUAAGUUAAGACCUGGCUGUUUUGACGUUACCAACAGAAUAAGCACCGGCUAACUUCGU